rnacentral:rRNA from 1 species
UACGAAGGGGGCUAGCGCUGCUCGGAAUUACUGGGCGUAAAGCGCACGUAGGCGGCUUUCUAAGUCGGGGGUGAAAUCCUGGAGCUCAACUCCAGAACUGCCUUCGAUACUGGAGAGCUCGAGUCCGGGAGAGGUGAGUGGAACUGCGAGUGUAGAGGUGAAAUUCGUAGAUAUUCGCAAGAACACCAGUGGCGAAGGCGGCUCACUGGCCCGGUACUGACGCUGAGGUGCGAAAGCGUGGGGAGCAAACAGG